GCAUAUAUCAAGGAGCAUUGGAGUCGUGGCCUAACAAUAUUUAAGAACACAUUUAUAAAAAACUUAUUAAGGAGAAGGUUGAUGGGAUUUCUACACCAAGGGAUGAAUAUGGUAUUGAAGUAAUAUAAGGAGACAUUAAAUUUGAAGAAACAUGCCAACAAGUGAAGCUGGAGACCUUAAAUUGAAAGAAACAUGUCAACAAAUGGAGCUGGAGACGUUAAGUUGGAGGACAAUGCCAACAAGGAGCUUAAGUUGAUGUUUUUGAGCUUAAGUUGACAUGGAGCUAAUUUUUAUGUUUUUAAACUUCAGAUAUGUUCAAUAUUAUUUGUAUACAUGUUAUUCAUUUCUGAAGGACAUACCAUUUUGAAAUGGUUGUGCAAUUAAAUGCAUAAGUAUAGUUAAUGAAUUAGUGUAAUUUGAAUGGA